CCCUCUUUGCCAAGGGCCUGAUUAAUUAAUGUUUUACGUUAAAAUUCCCUAAGAGGAUGAGAACCGAUACCCAAAGCAUGCAGGCUACAGCACUCCACAUAUCCCUAUGCCUUGAGGAGCCAGUGGCAAGCACACUGGGGCCUGAGUCUAACUCAUUUGGAAACAUCCAAUUCGUUUGGAAUCAUUAUUAUUUAAUCCCAUAGAUCACCCUGAAACAACGCAUUCGUAUUUAAAUAAUGUCGACCCAGAUGCUAAUUUUCCAUUCCGCCAAACAAUUAGUAUAAUUAUAUGGUAGAAGAAUCUAUUAGCGAUCAAUGAGACCUUCUCA